UAUGACUAAAUGUCAUGUGUAUGAUUAAGUAUAAGAACUAGAACCACAUCUGGUUGCCAAAAGCUAAAGUAGAGUUUCCUGGUUAAAGAUACAAAGCCAAAGACUCAAAUGGAUUGCGACUACACCAUCAAAGCUUUAAGAAGCAAUAAGAAGCUUGGUUAGAUGUCAUGUGUAUGAAUGAGUAUAAAAACUAGAACCGCAACGGUUUCUAAAAGCUAUAGUAGUGUUUCCUUGUUAGAAGAUACAAAUCCAAAGACUCAUACGGACUUAAGCU
rnacentral:sRNA from 1 species